rnacentral:rRNA from 1 species
UGGGGAAUCUUGGGCAAUGGGGGCAACCCUGACCCAGCGACGCCGCGUGGGUGAUGAAGGCCUUCGGGUCGUAAAGCCCUGUCAGGCGGGACGAAGCCGCGGGGGGCGAAGAGCCCCCGGCGCUGACGGUACCGCCGAAGGAAGCACCGGCCAACUCCGUGCCAGCAGCCGCGGUAAGACGGAGGGUGCAAGCGUUGCUCGGAAUCACUGGGCGUAAAGGGUGCGUAGGCGGCCCGGGGCGGCUUUUGU